rnacentral:rRNA from 1 species
GGAAUUCGUGGUGUAGCGGUGAAAUGCUUAGAUAUCACGAAGAACUCCGAUUGCGAAGGCAGCUUGCUGGACUGUAACUGACGCUGAUGCUCGAAAGUGUGGGUAUCAAACAGGAUUAGAUACCCUGGUAGUCCACACAGUAAACGAUGAAUACUCGCUGUUUGCGAUAUACAGUAAGCGGCCAAGCGAAAGCGUUAAGUAUUCCACCUGGGGAGUACGCCGGCAACGGUGAAACUCAAAGGAAUUGACGGGGGCCCGCACAAGCGGAGGAACAUGUGGUUUAAUUCGAUGAUACGCGAGGAACCUUACCCGGGCUUGAAUUGCAACUGAAUGAUGUGGAGACAUGUCAGCCGCAAGGCAGUUGUGAAGGUGCUGCAUGGUUGUCGUCAGCUCGUGCCGUGAGGUGUCGGCUUAAGUGCCAUAACGAGCGCAACCCUUAUCGAUAGUUACCAUCAGGUUAUGCUGGGGACUCUGUCGAGACUGCCGUCGUAAGAUGUGAGGAAGGUGGGGAUGACGUCAAAUCAGCACGGCCCUUACGUCCGGGGCUACACACGUGUUACAAUGGGGGGUACAGAAGGCAGCUACACGGCGACGUGAUGCUAAUCCCUAAAGCCUCUCUCAGUUCGGAUUGGAGUCUGCAACCCGACUCCAUGAAGCUGGAUUCGCUAGUAAUCGCGCAUCAGCCACGGCGCGGUGAAUACGUUCCCGGGCCUUGUACACACCGCCCGUCAAGCCAUGAAAGCCGGGGGUACCUGAAGUGCGUAACCGCAAGGAGCGCCCUAGGGUAAAACUGGUGAUUGGGGCUAAGUCGUAACAAGGUAGCCGUACCGGAAGGUGCGGCUG